AUUGAACGCUGGCGGCAGGCCUAACACAUGCAAGUCGAGCGGAUGACGGGAGCUUGCUCCUUGAUUCAGCGGCGGACGGGUGAGUAAUGCCUAGGAAUCUGCCUGGUAGUGGGGGACAACGUUUCGAAAGGAACGCUAAUACCGCAUACGUCCUACGGGAGAAAGCAGGGGACCUUCGGGCCUUGCGCUAUCAGAUGAGCCUAGGUCGGAUUAGCUAGUUGGUGAGGUAAUGGCUCACCAAGGCGACGAUCCGUAACUGGUCUGAGAGGAUGAUCAGUCACACUGGAACUGAGACACGGUCCAGACUCCUACGGGAGGCAGCAGUGGGGAAUAUUGGACAAUGGGCGAAAGCCUGAUCCAGCCAUGCCGCGUGUGUGAAGAAGGUCUUCGGAUUGUAAAGCACUUUAAGUUGGGAGGAAGGGCAGUAAGUUAAUACCUUGCUGUUUUGACGUUACCGACAGAAUAAGCACCGGCUAACUCUGUGCCAGCCGCCGCAGUAAAAC
rnacentral:rRNA from 1 species